rnacentral:lncRNA from 1 species
CAAUAUUAAAUUCCACGUCCCUUCGAUGAAGAUCCGCAUAACUCUUUUGUUGAUCUUGUGCUGUUUGUAUACGUUGUCGAAUCAUUUGGAUCAUCUCUGUAGUCAUUCGUACCAACUCUGGUCCCAACAAUAUUGCUUCACCCACCUCGUCCCAGCAUACUGGAAAACGACAUUUUCUUCCAUACAACGCCUCGAAUAGAGCCACACCUAUACUUACCUGAUAACUGUUGUUGUAAGAGAAUUCCACCAAUGGUAGGUCUUAUCCCAACUCCCUUUGAAAUCUAG